GUUGAAAAGUACCCCGGAGGUGGGCCUGCCCUGAGGAGAAAACUGCAGAAUAUUCGGACCCUCUAGUCCCAGCCGCCCAGUGAACUUGAGCUGUGUGACCUUGAGCAAAAGGCAAAAUGUUUCUGAUUUUCAGUCCCCUCAUCUGGAAAAGGAGGAGGCUGUGGGACAUGAUGAUCUUUGAAAGUCUAAUAAUGAAACAAACAGAAAACCUGUGCUUCUAAGUUGGUGAGUCUGGAAAGGCUUGGUGUACAGUUGAUGUCUAGAAUAUAUUAACAGAAGGCUGCCCUGUAGAAGUUUUGAGUUAAUGGUUUCCAUCAACGCAGGAGUGGAAGAAGCUACUGGGGAUCAGGAAUCAGAAGUCCUGGCUUUAAGCCCUAGCUUUAGCCCUCACUGGUAAUAAAAUCAAAGCAAUUGGUCUCUUUGACUUCAGUUUCUCCACUUUUAAGGUUGACCUGAUAAUACUUGCCCUGCUUGUGAAGAGCAUGUGAAAUAAUAGCUAUUCAAAUUUUUACAAAGCAC
rnacentral:lncRNA from 10 species